CUCUACAUAUAUAUAUAUAAAAAGGUACUAGGCUUGUAUUUUUUUUCCGCUAGGAAGAGGAAAAAUCCUAAAAUAGAGAGAAAGAACAAAAGGGUGUAUUAAGUUAUAGUACAUCUCCAUCUUAAUAUAAGACGUGAACUAAACCCCAAAUCACAUUAAAUCUUGUGUUCAGGGUGCGAUGCUUAGUUUUUCAUUUUGUUUCCACUGUACAUUUCUUGGAUUUUUUUUUUGUGCACUUUUAGCUUUGUCAUAAUUUGUCACAAAGUAUAUAUACAUAAAAAAAUAAAAAAAAAAAAAAAAAAUAUGAACAGUGAUAGGAAACCAAAAUGUAUCACAAAAAAAAGACCGAAUCUUUUGUGGCAGAGCCAUCCUCACCCUUCAUCACUUGUAGGUAAAAGAAAUAAAAAAAAUAAAAAAAAGAAGGGAGGGGGAAGGAAGGUGAUCUCACAGCGGCGGUGACGGGCGGUUCGGGGCUCGGCUGUGGCUAAUCUGGGUUGAACAGCCGGCUUAUGGGUUGAACGGCCGGCUGAUAUUCGUCGCCAUCAAGAAACUCAAUAUGCGACGAUGAUUUCUCGAUAUCCGACGAGACAGACGGCGACCGGCGAUGGGGACAAUCCGAUGAUGGGCAGCGGCAGUUCACGACGGACUCUAUCCAGAACAUCAGUUACUUGUUAUGCAUGCACCAUUUGUGGAUUCUUCACUGGGCUCAGCCAAUGAUGAACUUUACAAAAUAUUCAAUUCUUUCAGUCAAGUUGAGCUUCCACAUGGAAGCUCGGAACCCAUUUUUUGAUGAAGCAUGAUUCAAUUCACGAAAUGGAUGAUUCGCAGAUCGUCGGAGCUCCGGCAAUUGUCGCCGGUGAUGAGGAUGGUCCUUCAGCUGCGAAGGCAUAGGGGGAAGCUAGAGGAAGGGGCGGGAAGAAGAGGAGGCGGACUUUGUUGCCGAGGGUUCAGGCCAGACAACGGCCGCCACAUCGAUGAAACCAAACUCACUGACCUCAUCACUGCCGGAGUCCAUCACAGUCGCAUCCCACCAUCUUCUCCAAAUCUUCGGUCUCCGCAUCUGCACCUGCAGUCGAAUCUUCCUCGCUCUCCUUCGACGACCCCAACAACGUAGCCGACAACUACAUCUGGAAGGUUAACCCCGACGGAGAUCCCACCAUCUUCUUCAGAUCUCCGGUCUUCUCUGUUUUUGACGGGAAAGUUCUUCAAGGUCAACGUCAGUGGCUCUUUUACUCACAAGCAAGAGUUUUAUAGAAUCUGACGUGGCUUUUUCGGUCGUUUAUUCGGGAGUUACACUUCGCCCCUUUAUCAUUUUCCUUUCUUAAAAGUAAGCACGCACUAUCAUAUAUUUGUUCCCUCUUGCAUAAAAAAAAAAUUAUUUAUAUGUUUUGUGCCCUUUGAAGGCUCUUGGCUGUUGGCCGUUUGGCUCCUCAGCUUUUUACUUCCUUAUCCAGUAUUUUCAUUUUUUCAUGGC